rnacentral:lncRNA from 1 species
AAAAGAGAGAAAUGGAUGGUGGCAGGUUACGGGGGAAAGAGAGCAGAAGAAAAGCUAUGGAGGAUCUUAUUUUUGGUGUAUUUCUUUAAUAAGAUAUUCAGUCAUGAAGUCAGAUUCUUUCGUAUGAUUUGCAGAUUGUCCUCGGCUGUACUGCCUGGAUCACGGCUCAUGCCAUGUGGAGAGACACGGGCCUGUUUGCAUCUGUUAUCCAGGAUGGACAGGCAACCGUUGCCAUGUGAAGGAGAAACCACCUCUCUCAACCUCAUCUCCUAAACCAGAGGACACACAGCUGGGUAAUAAAGAAACUCAAAUCCCUGUUCCUCUCUAUUAAACUGUCUCACCUGAAUUUAUUUACUGUAUCCUUGCAUUCCCUGUUAAUGUCUCUGCAGUUCAUUAAAGGUAGUUCUUUAUGCUUUAUAUGCCUCACUCUUAUUUAGAUGCUGUGUAUGUUGGCAUCGCCAUCGGCCUGCUGCUGCUCGUACUUGGAGUUGCUGUCGGCUUCCUGGCAUUACUCAAGAAAAGAUGCUGCUUAAUGUGAGUUCUGGUUGCGAUAAUCACAGCGUUUCUCCUUUUUACCGAUGAUGAUGUUGGUGAUGAUGAGUGCGUUUUCUUUGCUGGUUUCACAGAAAGCCCAACCCGAUGGACUACGGGGUGAUGGAUAACCCAGGCUUUGACUGGAGAGCAGAGGUCAGCGCACAGAAAUGUCCAAUCAAUCAUCAGCGAUAUCUGCUCGGGCAACAUUAGGUUUCUCGGCUAUACAAAUCUAAUUUUUCUGCCAUUCGCCUCACAUUUAUUCAAUAAUUGAAUCUAACAUUAGAGGAGGUCAGAAGGUGAUCGCCAAGCCUUUCUGCUAGAUUACAUUUUUGAUUUAGGAUUAUUGAUUUUGAGGUUUAUGUGUAUAUUUGUGUUUUUCUGAGUGCGUUUUACACUGUAGUGCAUAUACAGCCAGUAGGCACAAUAACUGAACCAUAUAAUCUGAUCAAAUGCAACACCAUAAGCUACGGUGCCAAAAAUAGCCAGUUUAAUCAACAGUCUUACAAAAAUGUGACAUGAUGAGAAGCUUUAGUAAAUAGCAAGGCUUUUAGACCUUAAAGGAUCAGUGUGAAGGAUUUAGAGGCAUCCAGCAGUGAGGAUGCACAUUGUUUUUUAGAUUUUUGUGACCUUUGUCAUAUAAUACAAGGCGACGAGAAACAUAAACAAUCAACAGGUCCGCCAUGAGUUGUGAUGUGAUGCCUGUUUGGCACAACGUGACUGGUUGAAGCCUUCAUUUGCAGAAAAAUCCUCAGAAAAAUCUACCUUGAUCCAAAAAAAAGAAUGUCACUUUUUGACUGUAUAAUAUUCACAUCCUUAAGUCCCCCAUGUGUAAUGAAAACAUCAAUAUUAUAUGCUAUUUCUGCCAAUAGAGCCUCUUAAAUGUUAAACACUGGACCUUUGUACCAGUACAACAAUGAAAAAAAGGAAACUCCUGCGUUCAGAACCAUAAGAAAGUAAAAGUAUCUUUAAUAAUGUAUGUUAUUUUAUAAUCUUAUAACAUUUUGUUCAUGUCAAAUCUUAAUCUGAAAAGAUAUAAUCACAGCUGUCAAAUACAUGUAGUGGAGUAGUACAAUAUUUCCCUCUGUGAUGUAGUAGAUGUAGUAGAAUAUAAAGUAAAGUACCUCAAAAUUAUACUGAGUACAGUACUUGAGUAAAUAUAUUGAGUUACAGUCCACCAUUACACAGGUGUACAGCUAUUGUGUCCACCCACUGUUUGCUUUCUGUCUCUGCUGUUAUUCCUCCUCUUACUGACACAAUCACAGUUGUUCCAUUUGGAUAAUGGCUCUCGUGUGUGUGUGUGUGUGUGUGUGUGUGUGUGUGUGUGUGUGUGUGGCGUUUAUGAGUGUGUGUUUCCAAAAAUGACAAAACGACUGAGUUGUGUGUCCCAGCACACACACAUACACAUACAUUUCUAUCUGUGUGGGUGUGCAGCGAGUGUCAUUCAGUAAUAAAAGUGAGAGUGAUGUUGAGAGCCACAAUGACUCUGAUGAUAGAGAUUAUUAUAGAUUUAAUGGUGCUGA